rnacentral:rRNA from 1 species
AGAAUCAACGCUGGCGGCGUGCCUAACACAUGCAAGUCGAACGAGAAAGUGGAGCAAUCCAUGAGUAAAGUGGCGACCGGGUGAGUAACACGUGACUAACCUACCUUCGAGUGGGGGAUAACCUCGGGAAACCGAGGCUAAUACCGCAUAACAUCGCAAGAUCAAAGCAGCAAUGCGCUGGAAGAGGGGGUCGCGGCUGAUUAGCUAGUUGGCGGGUAACGGCCCACCAAGGCGAAGAU